AGGUUGGCGUCACCACGGAUUUCUCUGAGACAAUCGCUCCAUGGGUAGCUACAUAUUUGGUGCACCUCCGGGAGCUGAUGGAAAACACAGACGUUACAGAUUGAAAUUCAAGAGAAUCUACACUUAGAAGACUUAAAGAUUUGCACCUGGAAAACAAAACAAAACAAAACAAAUGACUGUCUUGCAUAGUCAGAUAAAAUAAAAGAGAAUUACAGAUGUUA